rnacentral:rRNA from 1 species
UACGUAGGCAGCAAGCGUUGUUCGGAGUUACUGGGCGUAAAGGGUGUGUAGGCGGUUCUUUAAGUUUGGUGUGAAAUCUCCUGGCUCAACCGGGAGGGUGCGCCGAAUACUGAGGGACUAGAGUGCGGGAGAGGAAAGUGGAAUUCCUGGUGUAGCGGUGAAAUGCGUAGAUAUCAGGAGGAACACCGGUGGUGUAGACGGCUUUCUGGACCGUAACUGACGCUGAGACACGAAAGCGUGGGUAGCAAACAGG